rnacentral:rRNA from 1 species
AACGGCCGUACCAUGCUGAAUAUACCGGUUCUCGUUAGAUCACCGAAGUUAAGCAUCAUUGGGUGCGGUCAGUACUUGGGUGUGUGACCACCUGGGAACACUGCGUUGCCGUU